AUGCUGAUGUACAUCUUCGAGCUGAUGUCGGGGCUUAAGGUGAAUUUUCAAAAGAGUGAAAUUCUCACUGUAGGGGGGGGGGAUGAAAACGUGGUGAGCAUGUAUGCAGACUUGUUUAACUACGAUGUAGGCAGCUUCCCUAUUAAAUAUUUGGGGAUGCCUGUCAGCUACACCACCCUCAGGAAUUCUGAUUGGGAAUUCAUUGUGAGCAAGUAUCUGAAAAGAUUUGAAGCAUGGAUUGGUAAUGCAGCCUCGAUGGGGGGGAGAUUGACUUUGUUGGAUUCAGUGGUCACACAAAUUUCUUUAUACCACAUGUCUAUGUGGCUUAUGAACAAAACCUUCAUUGAGCGCCUUGACAAACACAGAAGGAAGUUCUUUUGGCAAGGGUGUAAUAAGAAGAGGAGGUAUCAUCUUGUCAGGUGGAAUAGGAUCUGCAGAUCCAGAGACAAGGGUGGUUUGGGGGUUAAAGACCUUCGCAAACAGAACAUUAGUUUAAUGGUCAAAUGGUGGUGGAAACUCGAGACCCAAACUGGUAUGUGGCAAGACAUUGUUCGUGCGCGUUACCUGACCAACAAUACUGUGUCUGCGGUUAAACCCAGGUUCUCCGAUUCCCCCUGUUGGAAGGCUUUGUUGAAAGUCAGAGACCUUUACAUGGCUGGCAGGAAAGUACAUAUGGAAUCUGGCAAUCUUGUCAGAAUCUGGAAAGACUCCAUCAAUGGGCCAAGUCCUUUCCAGACUCAGUAUCCCUUGCUGUUUGACAUAUGUAAUGAGCAGGAUUGCACUGUAGAUAGAUUCAAAAACAUUGACACCCAUACUUUCUUUAGA
rnacentral:rRNA from 1 species